CACGUAGGGUGCGAGCGUUGUCCGGAAUUAUUGGGCGUAAAGAGCUCGUAGGCGGUGUGUCGCGUCGGCCGUGAAAACCUGCAGCUUAACUGUGGGCUUGCGGUCGAUACGGGCAUCACUGGAGUUCGGCAGGGGAGACUGGAAUUCCUGGUGUAGCGGUGAAAUGCGCAGAUAUCAGGAGGAACACCGGUGGCGAAGGCGGGUCUCUGGGCCGCAACUGACGCUGAGGAGCGAAAGCAUGGGGAGCGAACAGG
rnacentral:rRNA from 1 species